AGUGAACGCUGGCGGCAGGCCUAAUACAUGCAAGUCGAACGGCAGCACAGUGGAGCUUGCUCCAUGGGUGGCGAGUGGCGGACGGGUGAGGAAUACAUGGGAAUCUGCCCAGUCGUGGGGAUAACGUAUGGAAACGUACGCUAAUACCGCAUGCGCCCUUCGGGGAAAGUCGGGGACCGCAAGGCCUGACGCGAUUGGAUGAGCCCAUGUUCGAUUAGCUAGUUGGCGGGUAACGGCCCACCAAGGCGACGAUCGAUAGCUGGUCUGAGAGGAUGAUCAGCCACACUGGAACUGAGACACGGUCCAGACUCCUACGGGAGGCAGCAGUAGGGAAUAUUGGACAAUGGGCGCAAGCCUGAUCCAGCCAUGCCGCGUGAGUGAAGAAGGCCUCGGUUGUAAGCUCUUUGUUGGG
rnacentral:rRNA from 1 species